UACGGGGGGAGCAAGCGUUGUUCGGAUUUACUGGGCGUAAAGGGCGCGUAGGCGGCCAGCACAAGUCAGUUGUGAAAUCUCCGAGCUUAACUCGGAAAAGUCAACUGAUACUGUGCGGCUAGAGUGCGGAAGGGGCAACUGGAUUUCUUGGUGUAGCGGUGAAAUGCGUAGAUAUCAAGAGGAACACCUGCGGCGAAGGCGGGUUGCUGGGCCGACACUGACGCUGAGGCGCGAAAGCCAGGGGAGCGAACGGG
rnacentral:rRNA from 1 species